rnacentral:rRNA from 1 species
UCCGUAGGCGGGCAAUUGAGUCAGAGGUGAAAUCCCACAGCUCAACUGUGGAACUGCCUUUGAUACUGGUUGUCUUGAGUUACAGUGAAGUAGAUAGAAUAUGUAGUGUAGCGGUGAAAUGCAUAGAUAUUACAUAGAAUACCGAUUGCGAAGGCAGUCUACUAACUGUAUACUGACGCUAAUGGACGAAAGCGUGGGGAGCGAACAGGAUUAGAUACCCUGGUAGUCC